GAGGAAAGUCCGGGCUCUUUUUAAAGAUAUAUAGCUGUCUUAAAAGCAGUGUAAGUGAUUGCGAGGAUAGUGCCACAGAAAUAUACCGCCUUAUGAAAAGGUAAGGGUGCAAUGGUGCGGUAAGAGCGCACCAAACAUAUUAUUAAGAUCAUGUUUAGGUAAACCCCAUAAUAGAGCAAAGUUGUUAAUUUUUUCAUGUUCUUUAUCAUGUAAUUGUUAUUAAUUAACAUAUUAAUACUGCAAUAGGUUUCAAUUAUACUAAAGAUGAAUAAUUACCCUUGUAAGAUAUAUUAUAUUUGCAAGAACAAAAUCCGGCUUAC
rnacentral:RNase_P_RNA from 1 species